rnacentral:lncRNA from 1 species
AUGGGGAGAUCUUGGCGUGUGUCUUGGGUGUGUGGUGAGGGUCGAGUCGACCGAGCAGGAUUUACGACGAGUCUUGGGACAAGUCUUGCCGGGGAAUGCUACCUGGGCGUUCUCCAUGAGAGAUACCUGUGGCGGGUACAUGUGACAGGGAGAGGUCCCGGAGUGGAGUGUCUUCGUGGGACGAAGCACCGGGAUGGGAGGUGCUGUAUAGCACGGGGUAGCCGGGUGUCCCAUCGAGAGGGGCAUCGGCUGGCCCCUCGUGAAGAUGUCCUGUUCGGUUACCCUAAGGACUGAGAUGUUCUGAGAACCGGUUCGUAGGAAGCCUUACACGCCACUCGCCUUAUUAUGGUGCGGGACGGAUGUACGACCAGCUAGUGCGGUGCCACUACUACUAGGUUGAU